CGGAAACCUGGUGCUGGAGAAGUCAUGUGAGGUGCCAGAGGUGGAAUCGGAAGGGAGAGCUCCUUGCCCCUGCUGUGUCUCUCUAGCACCCUCUACUCACAAAGCGUGGUAUCAUGCCAGCUGGCCAAGGAAACAUUGUUAAAGGAUUCUACAAUUUCCCAGAACAGGCAAUUAAGGGUGAAUUUGGAGCUGAGAAGCAAGAGAUUGAUCACGGGCACAGCAGGACUCAGGGCUGCACUGAAUCUGAGAUCUUCGUCACGCUCGGAUGGGGAAACUGAGUCCUGGGGAUCUUUGUCCCAAAUCUCACGGUUACUGAACGGCUACGUUGGAACUAGAUGCAAGGUCUUGCAAUUUUCUCUAAAUUUUCUACAUGGCCACCUCAAAAAGAAAGCAUGCUGCACCUUUCAUUUUCUGGUGCAAAGCAGAAGAAAUGCGGAAGGAAGAGAAGGAGAAAGAAUCAAGUAAGUCCUGCUCCUUACUGAAACUGCCAGGUGCCCUGCUGGAAUCCUCCUUGGGAGAGCAGCCCCAAGUUCGCUGAGGAGGUGGCAGUGGAAGAGGAGCUGGAAAACAGCCUCGGGUGCUUGGGUUCCGAAGCCCAGACAGAGUCUAAUCCAGAAGGAACCACUGGCCUCUGGAAUCGCAACUUAACCCCUUCAUAGCUUAAAGACAGACAAGAUCAGAAAGGCAGGCCUCUGGAAAGAAAUGAAGAUCACCUGAAAGUGUAAAUAAGUGAAUAAACAUGA